rnacentral:rRNA from 1 species
AUUGAACGCUGGCGGCAGGCCUAACACAUGCAAGUCGAGCGGCAGCGGAAAGUAGCUUGCUACUUUGCCGGCGAGCGGCGGACGGGUGAGUAAUGUCUGGGAAACUGCCUGAUGGAGGGGGAUAACUACUGGGAACGGUAGCUAAUACCGCAUAACGUCGCAAGACCAAAGAGGGGGACCUUCGGGCCUCUUGCCAUCAGAUGUGCCCAGAUGGGAUUAGCUAGUAGGUGGGGUAACGGCUCACCUAGGCGACGAUCCCUAGCUGGUCUGAGAGGAUGACCAGCAACACUGGAACUGAGACACGGUCCAGACUCCUACGGGAGGCAGCAGUGGGGAAUAUUGAACAAUGGGCGCAAGCCUGAUGCAGCCAUGCCGCGUGUAUGAAGAAGGCCUUCGGGUUGUAAAGUACUUUCAGCGGGGAGGAAGGUGUUGAGGUUAAUAACCUCAGCAAUUGACGUUACCCGCAGAAGAAGCACCGGCUAACUCCGUGCCAGCAGCCGCCGUAACAC